rnacentral:ncRNA from 1 species
CGAAAAUAGAGUGGCAGGUUGGUAUCUCCUGCGCCCACUUGCUGGGUUCUUACUACGCCGCGG